rnacentral:lncRNA from 1 species
AACAGAUACAUUUCCCCUUUGAAAACAAAACAGUUCUAGCCCCUGUGGAACUGAAGGCCUGUGGAUCAGAUGAGUCUUGUGCAACCAUAGCAAUUGGAUUUAAGCGCGUUUCUUGAAGACAGCCCAAAGACAAACUCCACGCUUUGCAUUUAUAUUUGGGGACAUUUUACAUUGCAUUUCUUUUUGUGGGAGUGUAUCAAUACCCUGAAAUUUACUCUACUUUUCUUCGUAACUCAGCAUCCCUCCCUUUACUAGACAACGAGAGCUGCAUACAAAAGAAAAAGGGAAAGUGAGAGUCCUCCAUUCUGCCUCCACUUGUCCUACUUCCUCUGAGCCAUCCCAUAACAUGAUUACGUUCCUUCGUAAUCAACUGUGUCAAAUACUUUGCUGCUAAUGAAAUAAUGUGACCCCUGGGAGGGGCAGGCCUUUAGAAUAUUCUUUGUGAUCUCAAAAAAUGGAAUACUGCUCUUGACAAGCCAACAUGUGACAUGAAUGCAUCCUGGCUACCACUAGCAACUGAGCUGGCCAAGUGGGUCUCAACUGCUCAGCAGGAUCCUCCAUCUUCCCCAGCCUGGACCCACAUCUCUGCUGGUCACCAUGGAAACCAGCCCCUCAGCCCUCAGUGCCCUGUGAGUACUCAGCAGUCCCCUGUGACACUGGAAGGACCUCCCUUCCUCUGCAGUACGUUCCAUCAGCAGAUACCAAAGGAGGACUCAUUGGGCCCUGAUGUAUCUCUCGGUUUACAAAUAGGUGGUUUUCUCCCCCUGCCACAAUAGCCAGACAGAAUAGGUUUGAGUACAGCCACCACCCUGUACCUGGAAUCUACUCCUCUCUGAACCUCAAAAAUUCAUCUUCUAGUCAAGCCAGACUCUGGCUUCCAUGUGGUAAGUUAUCUCUCAACUUUCUUCCCUGCCUCGACAAAAACCCUCUUGAGAUUCCUUUACACAGCCAUAAACACAUCUAAUCCACCAAACAGGUCUGAACCUGUCUUAGUCCUUUCUGUCCAGCUAUAACAGAAUACCACAGAUCGGUUAAUUUAUAAAGAAAAUCCAUUUAUUUCUCACAUUUCUAGGGGCUGAGAAGUCCAAGAGCAUGGUGCCAGCAUCUGGCAAGGGCAAUCCCAUGGAAGAAAGGUGGAAUGCAGAAGUGAGCAUGUGGGAUAGAAAGACAGGAAAUCAGGCUGAACUCAUCCUUUUUAUCAGGGGCUCACUCCUGAGGUGAUUAGCCCACUCCCAGGAUAAUGACCUUCAUCCAUUCAUAAGGGUGGGGCCUUAUGACUUAAUCAAAUCAUAAAGGCACCAUUUCUCAAUACUGUCAAUUGGCCACUAAAUUUCCACAUGAAUUUUUAGGGGACAGUCAAAUCAACUGUUGUAACCACUGAAGUGUUUGGAGGCUCUUAAUCUUCAGGAAGUGUAAUAAAACUAGCUGUGGAAAAUGAUGAGGAAAGGAGAGAAAUGUUUUUUUGUUUGGUUCGUAUACAUAUAAAUAUUACCUAACAAACAUUUAUACCCCAAUUACCAUUGGCCCUGAUCUAAGUCUUUUAUAUAUAUUAACACAUGCAAUCCUAAAACAGUUCCAUCAGAUAAUUAAUUAGGCCCAC